rnacentral:lncRNA from 1 species
CCAGAUCCAUUGAUGCAGAUUUGAAAGGGAUUCUAUUAGUCUCCAAGUUAAUUAGAUCUGUUGGAUCGGGAUCUCCCAUGGGGCCUAAGGUGAUGUAUCCAGAGGUAUCAGCUAUGGGGAUGGUGAUUCUGUCUCUAAGGGCCUGGGAAAUGCGAAAAUGGCUGAGUAAGGAAAGGAAAGUAAAAGCACGGGGAGAAUGAUGGAGGCAAAGAGGUGUACCUCGGGGACGGCAAUAAGAGUGGCCAUGGAAUUAGUUUGGGAUUUGAAGUGGUUAUCAAGUAAAUCACCAAUGGUCAUUGGAGAUCUCUGACGGUCGCCGGAAAUCAUCAAGGGUCGCCUUUCGCCCGAGAGAAAGAGGAAGCAAGGUAUGGUGGUGCGAGAAGAUGAACUGGUGGGGAAGAAGAAGAUGACGGCUGUAAAUUUAUAAACUCACCCGAGAGGGUAAAUGCGGUAUCUCUUCAGCCGCGUGCGCGAAACUCAAAGAGUUUUUACCCCCAGACGCUUUUUUUGGCAAUCAUGACUGAGGAGAUUUCGGAACAGAAAAUAUUUUGUUACUCAGUGAUUGGUAAAUAUUGGUGUUUUCCUAGGGAAGGUAAUCAUGGCUGAGAUAAUUUUGGAGCAAAAGAUGAGUUUCACUCCGAAAUUGGGGGCAUGUGUUGACACCAUUUUUUGACAUACGCCAAGGAUGGUGUCAAAAGGAAGCAGAGAUGCCAGCGCAUAGUGGAAAGACAACGGCUAGUGGAAUCUACCGGUGAGGUUGCAGAGGGUUUAGCCGAUGAAGUUAUGGGAGAUCGGCCGAUAGAGUAAGGUAGAAGCCUAGCCGAUGGGAUCACAGGGGUAUAGCCGAUGGGAGAUGAUGGAGGCGUAGUCGAUGGAGUCAGCCGAUGCAAGCGAGAAGGGUUCUAGCCGAUUGGAAAUGUUGGAGGUUCGGCCGACGAGAAGCAAGUUUGGGUCGGUAGAGGCCAAGCUCGUUUCCGACUCCUGCACGAGUCGUUUUUAUUUAGAAAGUUUGUUUGUUUAGAGAUAGAUUUUAUGAUUUGUCGUAACCGAUUAGGAUUAGAGAUCUUGAUGUAUAGGGUAUAAAUAGGGGCCUUGUAAGGUCUGGAGAUACACACAUCAUAAUCAAUACAAAUCUACUAUUUUCGCAAUUUACUUUCAAGUCGGUGACUUUGCCGUCGUUUUCUUUUCUUCAUGAGUUCUUCCAAGCUAGAUGGGC